rnacentral:rRNA from 1 species
GAGCUCAACUUUGGAAUCGCUCCGGCGAGUUGUAGUCUGGAGGUGGCCACCACGAGGUGUUCUAGCAGCAGGCAAGUCCUUUGGAACAAGGCGCCAGCGAGGGUGACAGCCCCGUACCUGCUUUUGCUAGUGCUUCCUGUGGCCCACCGACGAGUCGAGUUGUUUGGGAAUGCAGCUCUAAGUGGGUGGUAAAUUCCAUCUAAGGCUAAAUAUUGGCGAGAGACCGAUAGCGAACAAGUACAGUGAUGGAAAGAUGAAAAGCACUUUGAAAAGAGAGUGAAACAGUACGUGAAAUUGUUGAAAGGGAAGGGCUUGCACCCAGACACGGUUUCGGCCGGGCCAGCAUCAAGUAGAACGGGGUUAAAAGACUUGGGGAAUGUAGCUACUUCGGUAGUGUUAUAGCCCUUGGUGAUGACCCCUGUUUUGCUUGAGGACAGCG